UGCUCCUAGUACGAGAGGACCGGAGUGAACCUAUCCCUGGUGUUCCAGUUGUCUCACCAGAGGCAUUGCUGGGUAGCUAUAUAGGGUUGUGAUAACCGCUGAAAGCAUCUAAGCGGGAAGCCAUACCAAAGAUUAGAUAUCACUGGACCUAUAAGGUCCCUAAAGAUCCGUUGUAGACUACGACGUUGAUAGGCUAGGUGUGGAAGCUUGGUAACAAGUGAAGCUAACUAGUACUAAUUGAUCGUGAGGCUUG
rnacentral:rRNA from 11 species